UACGUAGGGGGCAAGCGUUGUCCGGAUUUAUUGGGCGUAAAGAGCGUGUAGGCGGCUCGGUAAGUCCGCUGUAAAAGUCCAGGGCUCAACCCUGGAAAGCCGGUGGAAACUGUCGAGCUAGAGUCCGGAAGAGGCGAGUGGAAUUCCUGGUGUAGCGGUGAAAUGCGCAGAUAUCGGGAAGAACACCCGUGGCGAAGGCGGCUCUCUGGGACGGUACUGACGCUGAGACGCGAAAGCGUGGGGAGCGAACAGG
rnacentral:rRNA from 1 species